rnacentral:tRNA from 1 species
AGGAUUUAAGUUAAUCAAACUAACAACCUUCAAAGUUGUAAAUAGACAUUAUAUCUAAGCCUUAC